rnacentral:tRNA from 1 species
GCCUGGCUAGCUCAGUUGGUAUAGUAUGGGACUCUUAAUCUCAGGAACAUAGGUUUAAGCCCCAAGCUGGGCG